GUUGGCACUCAUGCUUUUUACUUUUCCUCCCUCAGAGAGACCUCCUGCUAGGUGAGUCCCAGGCUCUAAGAAAUAUCCUACCUUAAAUCAAGCGGAGAAUAAAAAGAACUGCCCAAAUCCACUGUUUGAAGCAGAAAGGAAAUGAAGAUAUUUGGCUGUAGCCAGUAUGUAAUUCAGAUUGGCAUCAUUGUACUGGGGCACCACUGAGAAGAAAUGUGUCCUCUGCAAGCCAGCAGCCUGUGGAAACCAGCCGCAAUGCAAUCAAUCAACAUUGAGGGCCAAAAGCUAUUGCUUCCCUUUCUCUCAUAGAACAAACAGCUCAAGACCCCUAUAAAGUAGGCUUAUAGCUCCAACAAAAACUGAAAAGUUUAUAACAAGUGGUACCACCUGUGCUUAUGUCUCAGCGUAGCCAAAAUAAUUUCCUCUCCUGGGUCUCCUAUGGCAAAGGGUGAGGAAUGUGACAGUGAGAAUGCAAAGAGGAAGAGGUGCCAACAAGGAGCCUGUAGAGUGAGUGGAUUAUCUUUGUGCUAGCAGAGAGAUCAGCAAGUCUGUCUCCUUUACUCUGGAGCAACUGUGUGUGAUAUGAUCUCCCAUCCCCUAUCAAAAAGGCUCUGUCUUCAGAAAAACAAAAGACUUCUCUGCUCAAUGUUGUUCUCUCACAUGAUUGAGUAUUUUUUUGUUAACAAUGUUGUAUUAUUACAAUCCUGUGUAAAACUGGGAAUAUGGAGCUUGUAUUAAAAACACAAUAAAGAAAACAGCUUUGUACAAGCUAGUAUUUUGGCCAUAAUUAUACUUUUCUCUGUCUUCUCAAUGAAUAAGAAAAUUUUGGGCCAGGUAUCUGCACAAAGCGUGAUAGAACUAGGAUAAAAUAGCACAUCC
rnacentral:lncRNA from 1 species